GAUGAAGAACGCAGCGAAAUGCGAUACUUGGUGUGAAUUGCAGAAUCCCGUGAACCAUCGAGUCUUUGAACGCAAGUUGCGCCCGAAGCCAUCAGGUUGAGGGCACGUCUGCCUGGGCGUCACAUAUCGUUGCCCAAUGCCUAUUGCAGUGCAAUAGGAAUUUCUAGGGCGAAUGAUGGCUUCCCGUGAGCGUUGUUGCCUCGCGGUUGGUUGAAAAUCGAGUCAUUGGUAGGGUGUGCCAUGGUAGAUGGUGGUCGAGUUAGAACGAUACCGAUCAUGUGCAUGCUCCCCAAAAUAUGGCCUCUAUGACCCACACGCGUCUUUUGACGCUCAUGACGAGACCUCAGGUCAGGCGGGGCUACCCGCUGAAUUUAAGCAUAUCAAUAAGCGGAGGA
rnacentral:misc_RNA from 1 species